rnacentral:rRNA from 1 species
GAUGAACGCUGGCGGCGUGCCUAAUACAUGCAAGUCGAGCGAACGGACGAGCAGCUUGCUUCUCUGAUGUUAGCGGCGGACGGGUGAGUAACACGUGGAUAACCUACAUAUAAGACUGGGAUAACUUCGGGAAACCGGAGCUAAUACCGGAUAAUAUUUUGAACCGCAUGGUUCAAAAGUGAAAGACGGUCUUGCUGGCACGUAUAGAUGGAUCCGCGCUGCAUUAGCUAGUUGGUAAGGUAACGGCUUACCAAGGCAACGAUGCAUAGCCGACCUGAGAGGGUGAUCGGCCACACUGGAACUGAGACACGGUCCAGACUCCUACGGGAGGCAGCAGUAGGGAAUCUUCCGCAAUGGGCGAAAGCCUGACGGAGCAACGCCGCGUGAGUGAUGAAGGUCUUCGGAUCGUAAAACUCUGUUAUUAGGGAAGAACAUAUGUGUAAGUAACUGUGCACAUCUUGACGGUACCUAAUCAGAAAGCCACGGCUAACUACGUG